AAAGAGAUAAAAAGAAGGGGCAAUUGCUUAUUAAGCUUUGAAAAGUUUUCGACUUUUUAAUUUAUUCCUCUUAGAAUGCUAAUAUUGAAAAUAUUCUUUUUACGUUCAAAUUUAUUUCUAAUAUACUCCCAGAGUUAAAAUAUGUUAAUAAACGCUGUUAUCUUUAUAAAAUUACUAUUUUAUCCUUUCAAAUAUACCCUUCUAUCAUCGCCGACUUUUUCUUAUUUGCCCUUAAGUUAGAGGUACAAAAAGAAUUUUGCUUUUUGGUCUUUUCGAAUAUACCCUUCUAACAUCACCAAUAUUUCUUAUUUGUCCUUAAGUUAAGGACAAUAGUGGCAUUUUAAUUUUUUUUAACUGUGGUAGAUAUUUAACUCACGUUUAACCUAAGUUAACUUAACGGGUGGUAACUAUAGGGUAUUUUCGAAUAACGGAAAAAUAUAUGAAGGGUAUAUUAGAAAAAGAAAAAAAAAGAUAGGAAUAAAUGAGAUAUUUUCGAAGUUUUAAGAGGUAUAUAGGCAAUUAUUCCUAAAAAGAAAUUAUCAGAUUGCUAUACAAAUAUUAAAAUUGAUAAAAACUGUAAAUUUUAUAACUAUUUUGAUCAACCACUUUAGUUUUGAAUUAUGUUAAUAAUUUAAGAAUUUGUAAUUCCAUCGCAGCUAAAUUAACUCAAAUACCCCAAUCUUGACUGCUUCAUAAUUUAGACUAGUGGAGGCCCGCGCUUCGCGGCGGGAAAUUUAUAUUCCAGAAAUUAAAAGUAUAUAAUUUCGAAAUAUUUAAGGCAUGUUUUCGUAAUUUAGUAUUUAUAUAGAGUUUUGUUGGAGUAAAAUUUUCUUAAAUUAUAAACUUUUAUGUAUAUAGAAGGAUUUUGUUUUUUUAUUAUGAUUUUUAUUGGCAAAGUGUUUGUGUAUGAUUACGAAAAGAUAUGAUUAUCUAUAUUUAACUAUAAUUUUGUUAUCUUACUUACUAUGGAUUUUCAGACAGUUAAGCUGAACUGUUGAGAGUAAGGAGUUAUGCAGGAAAGUCUUUGUUAGCAAAGAGUUUGUAUAUGAGGGGAGAACGAUGUUAUUACUAUUAGAGUUGUUUCAAAGAGUUUGUGGGUAAUGGAGAAAAGUUGUUAUUAAUAUUAGGGUCUCUUCUAUUGAAUAUUUUUUAGAAUUCAGAUUAAUAAUAGUUUUUACUAUAGGGGAAGAAUGAACUUAUCUUAGUUAACUGCUGUAUCCAACUUUUGUGUUUGAAUUCGAAUUAGAUCCUGCGCUAAUUUUCCAAAUAUAGUAAAAUUUGCUAUGCAUUUGGGUUGACAUAUUUAAAGGAUAAAAAAGGAAUAUGAACAUGGGAAAAUGUUAUUUUCCAAAACAUUUGUGGAGAAAUUGAUUUUUGGCCACCAUAAGUAUAAUUCACUGUAAUUUUGAUUCCUUAUUAUGAAUUUAGUAUGAAAUCUUUUGAGAUAGGAAAAGCUGUUAUUGAUUUAAGAUUAUCUACAAAGAGUUUGUGUAUGAUGGAGAAAAGGUGUUAUUAAUAUUAGUGGCUAUUAUAUAGGGAAACAAAAGUAUAUAUCUUCUCCAUCUUUGUAUACCUUAUGAUGAUAUUUGGAAAGAAUGGAAAAUUGGAAAGUUUACUCAAUAAUGUUAUAAUUACACAAUUUAUCGUCUAUCGUAUGUAAAUAAACUCGAGGAAUGCAAUUUGCCACCCAACUUAUGUAAAUAUAAUUUUUCACCUGCAUUUGGAUUAAUAUAUUGAAAGUGUAUAAAAGAAUUUACCACGUAACAGGAGAUUGUUCAUUAUCGGUGCAAUGGGAAUACCAGAAUGUAUUGUCAUAUAUCUUGCUGAUUGCUUUGUAAUUAUGAUACAUUUUAUACCACCGGUCGUAUGAUGUGUUGAUUGCGAUAAUUUAAGUCUUACAUGUGAACUUUACAAUUUAUUAAUGAAAAUAUAGAAAGGAAUGAACUAAUACGGACAAAUAGUAGAAUAUAAAAUUGGGAAAAUGUUAUUUUCCUAAAACUUUGUGGAGAAAUAGGUUUUUGUUAACCAUAAGUAUAACUUAUUGUAAUUUUCGCAUGUGAAUUUGACAUUUUAUUAAUGAAAAGAUCAUGAGUUAUGAAAUAAUAUGAACAAAUAGUAGCAUAUGAAAAUGGAAAAAGGUUAUUUUCCAAAAUAUUUGUGGUAUUUGGGCAAAUAACUCAGAAUUUCAUGAUUUAUCGAAAAUUAUUGAUUUGACACUGAAGGUUAGUGCAUGAGAACUUAUAUAUGUAUCACAUAUUUUCAAAUAGAAAAAGAUGUUAUUAAUUUUAGAGUCUGUACAAAAAGUUUGUGCAUGAUGGGGAAAAUGUGUUAUUCAUAUUAGUGGCUUUUCUAUAGGGAGGGAAAAAAUAUAUAUCUUCUCCAUCUUUGUACACCCUAUGAUGAUGUUUGGAAAGAAUGGAAAUUUGAACAGUUUACAUUAUAAUGUUAAACUUAUGUAAUUUAUCAUCCACCGUAUGUAAAUAAACUCGAGUAAAUCUCCAGAUUUGU
rnacentral:lncRNA from 1 species